rnacentral:sRNA from 2 species
GGGAUUGCCCUAGUAACGGCGAGUGAAGCGGCAACAGCUCAAAUUUGAAAUCUGGCCCUCGGGUCCGAAUUGUAAUUUGUAGAGGAUGCUUUUGGCGCGGUGCCUACCGAGUUCCCUGGAACGGGACGCCUUAGAGGGUGAGAGCCCCGUACGGUUGGACACCAAGCCUCUGUAAAGCUCCUUCGACGAGUCGAGUAGUUUGGGAAUGCUGCUCUAAAUGGGAGGUAAAUUUCUUCUAAAGCUAAAUAUUGGCCAGAGACCGAUAGCGCACAAGUAGAGUGAUCGAAAGAUGAAAAGCACUUUGAAAAGAGGGUUAAAUAGCACGUGAAAUUGUUGAAAGGGAAGCGUUUACGACCAGACCUUUUCCCGGCGGAUCAUCCGGUGUUCUCACCGGUGCACUUCGCCGGGUUUAGGCCAGCAUCGGUUUUUGUAGGGGGAUAAAAGCUUUGGGAACGUAGCUCUUUCGGGAGUGUUAUAGCCCUUUGCAUAAUACCCUUACGGGGACCGAGGACCGCGCUUCUGCAAGGAUGCUGGCGUAAUGGUCGUCAACGACCCG